GGUGAACGCUGGCGGCGUGCCUAAGACAUGCAAGUCGAGCGGGCCGCGGGGUUUUACUCCGUGGUCAGCGGCGGACGGGUGAGUAACGCGUGGGUGACCUACCCGGAAGAGGGGGACAACCCGGGGACACUCGGGCUAAUCCCCCAUGUGGAACCGCCCCUAGGGGUGUGUCCAAAGGGCUUUGCCCGCUUCCGGAUGCGCUCGCGUCCCAUCAGCUAGUUGGUGGGGUAAUGGCCCACCAAAGCGACGACGGGUAGCCGGCCUGGGAGGGUGGCCGGCGAGAGGGGGACUGGGACACGGGGGGAAGUACCACUGGGGGAAGCAGUUAGAAAGCCGCCGGAAUGGGCGCAAGCCGGACGGUGCGACGCCGCUUGGAGGGAGUAGUCCUUCGGGGUGUAAAGGCAUGAACCAGUGACGAAACCCCCGACGAGGGGACGGACGGUACCGGGGAAAUAGCGCCGGCUAACUACGUG
rnacentral:rRNA from 1 species